rnacentral:rRNA from 1 species
UACGUAGGGGGCAAGCGUUGUCCGGAUUUAUUGGGCGUAAAGAGCGUGUAGGCGGCCAUACAGGUCAGCUGUGAAAACUCGAGGCUCAACCUCGAGACGUCGGUUGAAACCGUAUGGCUAGAGUCCGGAAGAGGAGAGUGGAAUUGCGAGUGUAGAGGUGAAAUUCGUAGAUAUUCGCAAGAACACCAGUGGCGAAGGCGGCUCGCUGGCCCGAUACUGACGCUGAGGCACGAAAGCGUGAGGAGCAAACAGG